rnacentral:rRNA from 1 species
CAGUAGCCGCGGUAAUACGAAGGGUGCAAGCGUUAAUCGGAAUUACUGGGCGUAAAGCGUGCGUAGGCGGUUUGUUAAGUCUGCUGUGAAAUCCCCGGGCUCAACCUGGGAAUGGCAGUGGAUACUGGCAAGCUAGAGUGUGUCAGAGGAUGGUGGAAUUCCCGGUGUAGCGGUGAAAUGCGUAGAGAUCGGGAGGAACAUCAGUGGCGAAGGCGGCCAUCUGGGACAACACUGACGCUGAAGCACGAAAGCGUGGGGAGCAAACAGGAUUAGAUACCCGCGUAGUCCCUGUCUCUUAUAC